AUGCACGCUGGCGGCGUGCCUCAUACCUGCCAGUCGCGCGAACAGACGAGGAGCUUGCUCCUCUGACGUUAGCGGCGGACGGGUGAGUAACACGUGGAUAACCUACCUAUAAGACUGGGAUAACUUCGGGAAACCGGAGCUAAUACCGGAUAAUAUAUUUAACCGCAUGGUUCAAUAGUGAAAGACGGUUUUGCUGUCACUUAUAGAUGGAUCCGCGCCGCAUUAGCUAGUUGGUAAGGUAACGGCUUACCAAGGCAACGAUGCGUAGCCGACCGGAGAGGGUGAUAGGCCACACUGGAACUGAGACACGGUCCAGACUCCUACGGGAGGCAGCAGUAGGGAAUCUUCCGCAAUGGGCGAAAGCCUGACGGAGCAACGCCGCGUGAGUGAUGAAGGUCUUCGGAUCGUAAAACUCUGUUAUUAGGGAAGAACAAAUGUGUAAGUAACUAUGCACGUCUUGACGGUACCUAAUCAGAAAGCCACGGCUAACUACGUG
rnacentral:rRNA from 1 species